UAAUAAUUUUGUUCCCCAAUUUCUAGGGUUUCCAGGAAAAAAAAAAUGUCAUCAACUGAAUUUCUCCGUCCAUCAAUCCACAACAGAUUCCAGUACACGAAUUCAAAUUGGAAUCUUCUAUAUUUACAUGGCGCAACCUUCUGUCCGAGACGAUUAAGGGUUUUUCCCCGAGAAACGAACCGUUUUAUCUCCAAUUCAAUCUCCUUCCCUUCGGUUAACCUUUCAAAAGGUUGCCAAACGUUUAAUCUGUGGCCUGGUUUUGGUUUGUUACAAAGUAAUAAAAAAGUAAGGGAAUUUAGAUUUCUAGCGAAUUCUCAAGAUGGAGAAUCGAGUGAAACCAGCGAGAGUGAGAGUCAGGGUCCAACUCAGUCUUCGCAAAGCACGGGCUCUUCGACUAACCAAAAGAGAGAGAAGCGGAACAAGAGUAACGGGUUUUGGUGGUCGAAGGGGAAGAACUUUCGGUGGCAACCUAUAAUUCAGGCUCAAGAAAUCGGUGUUUUGCUUUUGCAAUUAGGGAUAGUUAUGUUUGUUAUGCGGUUGCUCCGACCUGGAAUUCCGUUGCCCGGUUCGGAGCCAAGGACGCCAACGACUUUUUUUAGCGUUUCGUACAGUGAUUUUUUGAGUAAGAUUAAUAGUAACCAGGUGCAGAAAGUGGAAGUGGACGGUGUGCAUAUAAUGUUUAAGUUAAAAAAUGAGGGGGGUAUUCAAGAGAGCGAGGUGAUGACUAGUCAGAAAUUUCAAGACUCCGAGUCAUUGUUGAAAAAUAUGGCACCUAGUAAGAGGAUAGUGUACACCACUACGAGGCCAACUGAUAUCAAGACUCCAUACGAGAAAAUGCUUGAUAAUCAGGUGGAGUUUGGGUCACCAGAUAAGAGGUCCGGUGGAUUCUUGAACUCGGCUUUGAUAGCUCUGUUUUAUGUUGCAGUUCUUGCAGGUCUUCUCCACCGCUUUCCUGUGAGCUUUUCUCAGACGGCUGGUCAGAUUGGUAGCCGCAAGUCUCGGGGUCCUGGUGGUGCUAAAGUUUCCGAGCAAGGGGAAAUGAUCACCUUUGCUGACGUUGCUGGUGUGGAUGAGGCAAAGGAAGAGCUGGAAGAAAUUGUGGAAUUUUUAAGGAAUCCGGAUAGAUAUAUACGUCUUGGUGCUCGUCCUCCUCGAGGUGUUCUCUUGGUGGGUCUUCCAGGGACAGGCAAGACUCUUUUAGCAAAAGCUGUGGCUGGGGAAGCUGAAGUUCCUUUUAUAAGUUGUUCUGCAAGUGAGUUUGUGGAGUUGUAUGUUGGCAUGGGUGCCUCUCGUGUAAGAGAUCUGUUUGCACGAGCUAAGAAGGAGGCCCCAUCAAUAAUUUUUAUAGAUGAGAUAGAUGCUGUGGCAAAAAGUCGAGAUGGUCGAUUUCGCAUUGUUAGCAAUGAUGAGCGAGAGCAAACUUUGAACCAGUUGCUCACUGAGAUGGAUGGAUUUGAUAGCAAUUCUGCUGUAAUUGUUCUUGGAGCAACAAACCGCUCUGAUGUCUUGGAUCCUGCACUUCGCCGACCAGGGAGAUUUGAUCGUGUUGUUAUGGUGGAGACACCUGAUAGGAUUGGAAGAGAAUCCAUUCUAAAGGUGCACGUUUCCAAGAAGGAAAUCCCGCUUGCAAAGGAUGUUGAACUUGGUGAUAUUGCCUCAAUGACUACUGGUUUUACUGGGGCAGACCUUGCAAAUCUGGUAAAUGAAGCUGCUUUGCUGGCUGGAAGACAAAAUAAAGAUGUCGUGGAGAAAAUUGAUUUUAUUCAAGCAGUAGAACGAUCAAUAGCUGGCAUAGAGAAGAAAACUGCCAAGUUAAAGGGGAGUGAGAAGGCUGUAGUUGCAAGGCAUGAAGCUGGUCAUGCUGUAGUAGGUACUGCAGUAGCAAGUCUUCUUCCUGGACAGCCACAUGUGGAGAAGUUGAGCAUAUUGCCAAGGUCGGGAGGGGCAUUGGGCUUCACUUAUAUUCCUCCCGUAAAUGAAGAUAGAUAUUUGCUGUUUAUUGAUGAGUUAUGUGGCCGCUUGGUUACCCUACUUGGUGGACGUGCAGCAGAAGAAGUUGUUUAUUCUGGUCGUGUUUCAACUGGUGCACUUGAUGAUAUAAGGCGGGCAACUGACUUGGCAUAUAAAGCAAUAGCUGAAUAUGGUCUUAAUCAGACGAUAGGGCCCGUGUCUUUAGCAACACUUUCUGCUGGUGGAAUUGACGAGUCUGGGGGAUCUGUUCCAUGGGGAAGGGAUCAGGGGCAGCUUGUUGACCUCGUUCAAAGAGAGGUGAAAGCAUUGUUGCAAUCUGCUCUAGAAGUAGCACUUUGUGUUGUUCGUGCUAACCCUGAUGUUUUGGAAGGUCUUGGUGCCCAUCUGGAAGACAAAGAGAAAGUAGAAGGUGAAGAGUUACAACAAUGGUUGAGAAUGGUGGUUGCACCUAAAGAACUAUCGAGCUUUGUUCUUUGCAAGCAAGAGUCACUUCCCCCUCUGCAGGGAUCUCUACUCCCACUUAAAGCAAGCUCUGGGUAACAACUACAGUAAAGCAAAACAGAGGUGGCUUGUGGCGGUUCAUGUCAUAUUUUGGAUACAAAUACAAUAUCCUGAUUGUUGUUAGUCAACCAAUACAAAUUUUGUGAAUUUCCAGCAAGGUAAAUUUUGGUUACAUUUAACUCUACUGGUGUCCACCAUGCUCAUCAUUUUAUGGCACAAAACCUGCGAAAGGAGUUGGGAAAUCUCAAGAUUUGUUUUUGAUAGUUUUCCCAAGUGUCUCACUUUUUUAACAUUGUGUGAAUCUCUGGCCUGGUCUCUGAAAUCUUUUGUAAAUUUGCAUUGGUUUCAGUUAAUAUAUUUUCCAAUUAUUGGCAUUUGUAACAGUUGUUCAGUUGUACCUGUAAGUGAAGAUAGAUGAUAUAUAUUCCUUGUGCGGAUUCAGAUAGGGAAUGUACAUUGAAUCAGAGACAAGCACUUGCAUUCUGUACUCAGAAUUCAUUGCUUAAAACCAAAAGCAUGUUGCAGCCGGUGAAGCAGACUUUCAAGCCAAUUUUCAGAUGUUUCAUGGACAAGAUAAGGCAGGGCUUGGUGAAUGUUGGUUCAGAAAUGAAAUGAUCAUGAGAAAAUGGAUGAAAAUUUUUCUUUGUCGUUCAACAUAUACGGUGUAUAAUUCUCUAUCCAGAGGAAUGGGAGGUUGAAAUGAUUUCGAGCUGAUAUUUUGGAAGUAUACCUAAAAUAUCACUGUUGCUUUCUGGGAAUGACGGGCCCUUGUCUCCCGUCAUUUGGCUUGGACCAUCUCUCAUGUAAUUCUCCGUUUAUAUAUGAUCGUCAUAUCUAAACGGUGGAAUCGAGCUCUUCCACACGGUUGGCCGAAGAAUAUUUCUUAUUCAAAUCAUCUUGUAACAGAAUUACAUAAACGUUAAAAGUAAAUUUAUUAAUAGUUUUUAGAAAUUUUUUCAUGGAUUUAA